rnacentral:rRNA from 1 species
AGUGAACGCUGGCGGUAGGCCUAACACAUGCAAGUCGAACGGCAGCACAGUAAGAGCUUGCUCUUACGGGUGGCGAGUGGCGGACGGGUGAGGAAUACAUCGGAAUCUACUUUUUCGUGGGGGAUAACGUAGGGAAACUUACGCUAAUACCGCAUACGACCUACGGGUGAAAGCAGGGGAUCUUCGGACCUUGCGCGAUUGAAUGAGCCGAUGUCGGAUUAGCUAGUUGGCGGGGUAAAGGCCCACCAAGGCGACGAUCCGUAGCUGGGCUGAGAGGAUGAUCAGCCACACUGGAACUGAGACACGGUCCAGACUCCUACGGGAGGCAGCAGUGGGGAAUAUUGGACAAUGGGCGCAAGCCUGAUCCAGCCAUACCGAGUGGGUGAAGAAGGCCUUCGGGUUGUAAAGACCUUUUGUUGGGAAAGAAAAGCAGCAGGUUAAUACCCCGCUGUUCUGACGGUACCCAAAGAAUAAGCACCGGCUAACUUCGUG